rnacentral:lncRNA from 1 species
GUACCUUCAUCUCGCUCUGGAGUGUGAGACAGAGAGGGGAUGAUUGGACGAAGUUGCGACUUUGGAGUCAGGGAGGGUGUGACCGUGUGAGACAGGGACGAUGAAGUCACUGACAAAGCCGCGAGACAGGGACGAAGACGAAGGGGACGGACGAAGACGAAGUCGAGAGACAGGGACGAAGACGAAAAAGACGAGGUCGGCUGCUCGGGCACUCGGGUGGGAUUUGCGAAUUUGGGAAAGAAAAGAGAUUGUGGUUUACUGCCACCGUGGCUUGUUU